UACGUAGGGGGCAAGCGUUGUCCGGAUUUAUUGGGCGUAAAGAGCGUGUAGGCGGCCAAGCAGGUCCGCUGUGAAAACUCGAGGCUCAACCUCGAGACGUCGGUGGAAACCGUUUGGCUAGAGUCCGGAAGAGGAGAGUGGAAUUCCCGGUGUAGCGGUGAAAUGCGCAGAUAUCGGGAAGAACACCCGUGGCGAAGGCGGCUCUCUGGGACGGUACUAACGCUGAGACGCGAAAGCGUGGGGAGCGAACAGG
rnacentral:rRNA from 1 species